CUGAAAGUUCAGUUUCUGACAUAGCGC
rnacentral:misc_RNA from 1 species